AACGGGUAGAACCUCGAAGGCAUAGCUUAGGCGAGAACGGGAUUCAGCUUUGUUGGAAAAUGCUUGUAGGGUCGUACGCCGAUGAUAAAAAGCUUGCGAAAGUUGGUUUUUUUGUCGCGGCGUAUAUAAAUUACGACCUUUAUAAAUGAAGAGUUUUUCCGAAGCGCAUUUCUCGAUAGAAUCUCGCCCAAAGUUCACGCUGUGACCGGUUUGGCGACGGUAAAGAGGCUUUAGCGGAGAAAGGUGUCUUCGUGCGAAUUGCGACUCGCAAGAGUCGCCUCGGCAACUUCGGUUGCGGUUCGCCGGAGCGUUACAGACUCUGCGAGCAUCGUUUAGUAGGCCGUUAUCGCCAGACCGAGGAUCAAUCGUACAAGCGUUUAGGCGCACCGGAAUGCGAUGUUAGAAACGUUGUUUGUUGUUGUACGGUAGCUCGGCUAGUUCGAGAACCUGCGGCAAUUAUUCGACUUUCUUCGUCGUUUAAAAGUCUCCGGAUAUUAACGUACUUUAGGUCGGCAGCGAGUAGAUCGGUUCUCUACCCGACCCGUCUUGAAACACGGACCAAGGAGUCUAACGUACGCGCAAGUUUUCGAGUAAAUCUUAAACUUUCGAAAGAAAAGAUAAAGCGCAAUGAAAGUAAUAAAAAAUUUAAGGUGUGGAGAGGCAAAAACUUCUUUCCACGUCCGACGCGAUCGGUUUUAUUCUUGGUUGAAAAGCCUCGAAUWGACUGCGCAGCGUCGGCCCGUCUAUAACGCUCGAAAGUGUUUCGGCACUUUUGCACAGACGAUAAGACGGAGUUAGAGCGCGGGCGUUGGGACCCGAAAGAUGGUGAACUAUGCUUGGACAGGACGAAGCCGGAGGAAACUCUGGUGGAGGUCCGUAGCGAUUCUGACGUGCAAAUCGAUCGUCAGAUCCGA
rnacentral:rRNA from 1 species